rnacentral:lncRNA from 1 species
UUUAACUAACUAAACGGCUACCAUUAUGGUAUGGGGGCAAACAAAGCGCUUGAAAAUGGAGAAAUGUGUUUUUGAUUGUUCCCUUAAUGUUAAUAGUCAUCCGAACUUGAUUUUUUAUAUUUUGUUUCCUGAUCCAAAGAGAAGAAAAUCGUGGCUUUAUGCUUUAUAUAGAACUGAUUCAUCUUGCUAAAACAAACUUAGGUCGCAAAACAUGUCUAAGUAUGCUCAAAACAUUUUGUAUCUGAAUAUUAUGUACAAAAAAGUCAUUGCAAUAAAUCUCAAGUUAUUAAAGUCAGUUAACAAAUAAGUACUGACAAUUCAUUGACUGGAGUGGAAGAUGUUAGUGUCUUGAACCAACAUGAAACAACAAGUUAACUUAGCUGAGAAUGAUGGUAGUUUAAAAAUAAUGCAGCAUUGGCUAGGAUUGUUCCUAGGUCACAAAAACAAUCUUACAAAGUAAGUUUCUUCUUUA